GACAGGAAGUGAAUGAGAAACACACAUGAGCGAUGAGUGGAGGGGAACCCGAGGACCCGUCUGAAAGCCUAUGUCUGCACCAGUUCCUGGUCAUCCACGACCACUCCAUCCCCUACGUCAGACUCACAGCCUAGAGAAACAAUACUUCAGUGCGGGACCAGGGCGGUGCAAGCAUUGGGAUUAAGAAACACUGUAUAGGUCGGGCUGGAGGGAUGGCUCAGUAGGUAAAGGCGCUUGCCACCAAGCUUAACAACCUGAGUUCAAUCCCCAGGAUCCACAUGGUGGAAAGAGAGAACCGACUGCCAUACCUUGUCAUUUGGUCUCCAUGUGUGUGCUGUGGUAUGAUCACACCCACACUCAUACACACACAAAUAAAAAUAUUUGUGUGUUCGUGUGUGUGUGUGUGUGUGUGGACACAGACACAAAUAUGUGUAUACACACAAACACACACAUGCAUAUGCCAUAUCUACGACCAUAUGCUCACACUGUUCUGGCAGUUUUGCAGUGGCCAGUAACUAUAAGAAGCAGCAUGCACGAAAACACACACACACACACACACACACACACACCCCUAUACAAAUUUGUGCCCAUAAACACCUGCCGUGAACGCCCAGGGAAAAACCCUAGAGCUGUCAAUCAUGUCUCUCUCCAGUCUUCCCUAGUCCAACAAGAAUUAUCUCUUAAGCCUAUUUCUGCAGGGGGAGGUAGUUGCACAGAGACUCGCUCAUGGUCAAAAGUGCUAAGGAUAAGUGACUCAGCCUCAGAUGGGAUGUGUUUAUCACACCCUCCAGGUUCAGGGAACACGGUGUGGGGUGUUAAGAUUGUAAGAGCUGAAGGAAGGGGUACAGCGCUGUGAAAUGUUGCGGUUGUGGAGCAUUUUCUAAAUUAUUGCUGCUUAAUGUGAGAGGGUCCAGCUCACUGUGGGUGGUGCCACCCUUGGGCAUAGUUGCUGUAAGAAAGCAGGCUGAGAGCCGGGUGGUGGUGGCAGCUCAUGCCUUUAAUCCCAGCACUCGGGAGGCAGAGGCAGGUGGGUCUCUGUGAGUUCGAGGCCAGCCUGAUCUACAGAGCGAGUUCUAGGCCAAGCCAAGGAGCAAGCCUGUAAGCAACUUUCGUCUACGGUUUCUGUUUCGGUUCUUGCCUCCGGGUUCCUGCCCUGCGCGAGUUCCUGGCUUCCCCCAACGAUGGACUGUGAUCAAGAUUUAGAAGCCACAAGAAUCCUUUCUUCCCCAAGUUGCUUUUGGUUCAUGGUGUUUUAUCACAGCAGUGAAAGUUAAUAUGAGAAAGAGAGUUAUUGUCCUUAGUGGUGUCGCCACUGUGACCCAGGAGUCAUGUUUUCUUCCCUCUUUUUAUGGCCACAGCCAGAGACCGUCACCUCACACACUGGACACAGAGAACCUCUUCCUACCACAGGCAACGCCUGGUGCAGAAGGAAGCUCUCAGGUUCCUUUGGCUGCCCAGGACCUGGAAAGAUGCUGCAAUGGAGGUGGCUGCUGAAAUAGACCAGGCAUGUAGAAAUCAGAGGACAAGUUGCAGGUCGGUUCUCUUCUCCUACCAUUUAGGUCCCAUGGAUAACACUCAAAUCUUCAGGCUCGGUGGCCAUGUAUCCCACCACGCACUGGGUAUAAAGUCUGACGGAGAUGAUGAGGACAACGAAGUAUGUGCGACAUCCGUGUCUCGCGCACCAUUUCAGAGUGUGAAGAAUCACAACUCUCCCCACAUAGAACCAGGAAAACCUGCUGUUCUAAACAUCCUUGGUAAAGCCAAUGUGAAGACGCUGAGUUGAAACACAUCUGCAAGGUGAGAACAGAAACCACAGAGCUUGGCUGGGCAGCUCUACCUCCACCUGGAGCUGGGAGGUUUACAAGGAACCCAAAUUUACAGCCGUCCUUCAUACAGGCUGAUGGAAAUCACACCAAUAAGGCAAACACGGGAAAAGGACU